rnacentral:rRNA from 1 species
GACGAACGCUGGCGGCGUGCUUAACACAUGCAAGUCGAACGAUGAAGCCGGAGCUUGCUCUGGUGAAUUAGUGGCGAACGGGUGAGUAACACGUGAGUAACCUGCCCUUGACUCUGGGAUAACUGCGGGAAACUGUAGCUAAUACCGGAUACGACCCUCGGAGGCAUCUCCUGGGGGUGGAAAGAAUUUCGGUCAAGGAUGGACUCGCGGCCUAUCAGCUAGUUGGUGAGGUAAAGGCUCACCAAGGCGACGACGGGUAGCCGGCCUGAGAGGGUGACCGGCCACACUGGGACUGAGACACGGCCCAGACUCCGCCGGGAGGCAGCAGUGGGGAAUAUUGCACAAUGGGCGCAAGCCUGAUGCAGCAACGCCGCGUGAGGGAUGACGGCCUUCGGGUUGUAAACCUCUUUUAGCAGGGAAGAAGCGAAAGUGACGGUACCUGCAGAAAAAGCACCGGCUAACUACGUGCCAGCCGCCGCUGUAA